UACGUAGGGUGCGAGCGUUAAUCGGAAUUACUGGGCGUAAAGCGUGCGCAGGCGGUUUUACAAGCCAGAUGUGAAAUCCCCGGGCUUAACCUGGGAACUGCAUUUGGGACUGUAAGGCUAGAGUGUGUCAGAGGGAGGUGGAAUUCCACGUGUAGCAGUGAAAUGCGUAGAUAUGUGGAGGAACAUCGAUGGCGAAGGCGGCCACCUGGACAGUAACUGACGCUGAGGCGCGAAAGCGUGGGUAGCAAACAGG
rnacentral:rRNA from 1 species